CACAGAGUUAGCCGGUGCUUAUUCUGUCGGUAACGUCAAAACAAUUACGUAUUAGGUAACUGCCCUUCCUCCCAACUUAAAGUGCUUUACAAUCCGAAGACCUUCUUCACACACGCGGCAUGGCUGGAUCAGGCUUUCGCCCAUUGUCCAAUAUUCCCCA
rnacentral:rRNA from 1 species